CGGGUCCCAUGCAACGCAGGACCAGCAAACCCCGCCAGGCCCGGAAGGGAGCAACGGUAGCUGAGAUCCGCGUGUGCCGUGGGGUGCCUGGCCU
rnacentral:SRP_RNA from 1 species